rnacentral:misc_RNA from 1 species
UUUCUUUCUCUAAAUUGGAGGUACCACUACAAGAAGUCUGGUGUUUCCCGGCGGUUUGUUUUGCUUGUAGCGGCGGUUUAAACCACCUCUACACAGAGUAGAGGCGGUUCACAAAAACGCCCCAAGACCGCCUUUGUUGACAGCGUCUCUACGAAUUAGAGGCGGUUUUAGAAACCGCCGGGGUAGACCAUCAGCUAUAGAGGCGGUAUGUAGGGGCAGUUUAAACCGCCCCUAUCAAUUGAAUUUCCCGGCAAUUUCUUUACCCGCUAAUAUUUGGGGCAGCUUGUAGGGGCG